CUGAGAUACUGACUGUUGUUUAUGUGUGUGUGUGUGUGUGUGUGUGUGUGUGUGUGUGUGUGUGUGUGUGUGUGUGUGUGUGUGUGUGUGUGUGUGUGUGUGUGUGUGUGUGUGUGUGUGUGUGUGUGUGUGUGUGUGUGUGUGUGUGGAGGGGCACGUAUUUCUUGAGGCUUGCUCAAAUAAAACACUUUGCCUUGGACAAACAAACAUUGACUAAUCAUGGACAACAGCAGCUCAACAGACAUUGAUGCAACUGGUUAUACCAAACAUGUCAUUAAAGAAUGACAAUUUUUCUGUUAUUGCACGUUGCACAUAUCGUUCAUGAGAUCCCUGCAGCGGGCAGCUGCCAGGGACCAACUCCAGCUCUGCUGCUUAGUGCCUUGCUCAAGGACAUUGCUAUGUUUAACUGUCUGACCUUUUGGCCUUUAGAAUGUUCAAUCCGUUACCAUUUUUAGUUAGGUUAAGAUUCACCGUGGGAUUGUUUUGGUUUCGUUAUCGGGGUAGAGAGGAAAGUGUCAAUAUUAAAUUUGAAAUUCUGGUACAACAACAAUGAGCAUGUGUGCAUGUGUGGUCUCCAAUUGCAUUCGCAGGUGUGGUUGAAGGUGUUGUGGGCGUGUUACCGUGUGUGUGUGUGUGUGUGUGUGUGUGUGUGUGUGUGUGUGUGUGUGUGUGUGUGUGUGUGUGUGUGUGUGUGUGUGUGUGUGUGUGUGUGUGUGUGGGUGGGUGGGUGUGUGUGUGUGUGUGUGUGUGUGUGUGUGUGUGUGUGUGUGUGGAGGGGGGACGUAGUUCUUGAGGCUUGCUCAUAUAAAACCCUUUGCCAUGCACAACCCAAACAUUGACUAAUCAUGGACAACAGCAGCUCAACAGGCAUCGGUGCCAAUGCAGCAAAACCGAAAAAGGAUAAAGCAGCAAAACCGAAAGAGGAUAAAGACGCAAAACCGAAAGAGCCUAAAGAAAAGGGCAAAGGUGUUCAAGUGUUCAAGUCCCUUUCAGUCAAGAACGUGUGGAAGGGGAUGGAGAAGCUCAGAGACAUGACAAAAGAAGUUGCUGAACUGGCGAAGGUCAUACAGGAGCUGGAGGAUUGAAUUUCUAACUUGUAUUCCGAUAAUCUACUCAUAUAUCCCUGUUACAGAGUAACAUAAAUAUGGAACUUUGAUCUACAUACUGUUGUGUUCCAAAUGGCGGCACUGAAUUGUUAUCACCAUGCCAAUAAAAUCCUUCAUAAUUUGAAGCUGAAUCAACAACAGGCUCUUCGUGUUUUUCAUUCUGUUUUAUUGGGUUUCAACAAAGAGACAAAAACAUGAAGGUCAUUUGUGUAGCGCCAGAACGUGGACGGUGGGAAGCGGACCAUUUGAACAACUACUGUCACAGUGAACAUCACUCUCCUUCUCUCACACCCUCUGUCUGUCUGUCUGUUUAAGCCACAGACAGUCUUAUAAAACAGAGUAUACUGGAACAGAGCAUAAACGUUAGAGAAACCAGCAGGGGUACACCGCCUCUAUAAUAGUUAUUAUUGGGUGAUACACUGGUGUCCUGUCAUUAACUGGAGGCUGGGGGCUGUGCUAUCUUCCUCCACAAUUCACUAGAGAUUGGAACCGGAACCGGUUCAAGUUGAGAACCAGUUCCAUAUUCCUCUGAGCUCAUCAAUUCCAGACAACAGAAGUUGUCGGGAAACUUGUUUUGAAUGUACAGCGUGUGUGUCCUAAUCAGAUCUCUCCAUGGUGUCAGCCUAUACCCAAGAAAUGUGUCUUAACGACAAGUGAUGGGUUUGUAACUGGUUAUACAAUACAUUUCAUCAAAGAAUGAAAAUUGUUCUUCUGUCGUUGCACAUUGCACAUUUGUUCAAGAGACCCCUGCAGACCCGCAAUUGCAUAUGUGGUCUCAAAAAGCAUUCACAUGUGUGGUUGCAGGUGUUGUGGGUGUGGUUCCAUGCACCAUGUGUGUGUAUGUAUGUGUAUGUGUGUGUGUGUGUGUGUGUGGGUGGGUGGGUGUGUGUGUGUGUGUGUGUGUGUGUGUGUUUGUGUUUGUGUGUGUGUGGAGGGGGGACGUAGUUCUUGAGGCUUGCUCAUAUAAAACCCUUUGCCAUGCACAACCCAAACAUUGACUAAUCAUGGACAACAGCAGCUCAACAGGCAUCGGUGCCAAUGCAGCAAAACCGAAAAAGGGUAAAGCAGCAAAACUGAAAGAGGAUAAAGCAGCAAAACCGAAAGAGGCUAAAGAAAAGGGCAAAGGUUCAAGUCCUUUUCAUUGAAGAACGUGAUGAAGGGGAUAGAGAAGGGGAUAUCCAUGACAAAAGAUGUGGUUGAUCUGGCGGCGGGCGUAGAGAAGCUAUCGGAGCUGUGCAAGGAAUGAAUUACUAACUUGUCGAUAAUCUACUCAUAUAUCCCCAUUACUAAGUAACAUAAGUAUGGAACUUUGAUCUACAUACUGCGGUGUUCCAAAUGGCGACACUGAAUUGUUAUAGAGAUGAAAAUGAAAAUCCUUCAUAAUUUGAAGCUGAAUCAACCACAGGCACCGCAUUUGUGUUUUUCAUUCUGUUUUAUUGGUUUUCAACAUAGAGACAACAUUUGUGUAGCGCCAGAACGUGGACGGCGGGAAGCGGACCAUUUGAACAACUACUGUCACAGUGAACAUCAUCACUCAUCACUCCUACUCUCACAACCUUUGCCUGUCUGUCUUAGCCACAGACUAACAGUCUUACAAAACAGGGUAUACUGGAACAGAGCAUAACUGAUAGCGAACCCUGGCAGGGGGGGGGGGGGGGG